rnacentral:rRNA from 1 species
UACGUAGGGUGCAAGCGUUGUCCGGAAUUAUUGGGCGUAAGGAGCUCGUAGGCGGUCUGUCGCGUCUGGUGUGAAAAUCCAGGGCUUAACCCUGGACCUGCAUCGGGUACGGGCAGACUAGAGUGCGGUAGGGGAGAUCGGAAUUCCUGGUGUAGCGGUGAAAUGCGCAGAUAUCAGGAGGAACACCGGUGGCGAAGGCGGAUCUCUGGGCAUUACCUGACGCUGAGGAACGAAAGCUAGGGGAGCAAACAGG